UACGAAGGGGGCUAGCGUUGCUCGGAAUCACUGGGCGUAAAGCGCACGUAGGCGGCUUUCUAAGUCAGGGGUGAAAUCCUGGAGCUCAACCCCAGAACUGCCUUUGAUACUGGAGAGCUUGAGUCCGGAAGAGGUGAGUGGAACUCCGAGUGUAGAGGUGAAAUUCGUAGAUAUUCGGAAGAACACCAGUGGCGAAGGCGGCUCACUGGUCCGGUACUGACGCUGAGGUGCGAAAGCGUGGGGAGCGAACAGG
rnacentral:rRNA from 1 species